AAUUCAAUUUUUUCCAGAAAAUUGAAUGUUAAUCUAACUUAUCAGUGAUAAAAUCAUGCGGAACUUGAUUAGAUUUCUUUCACUUUAUGUGUACAAUACCUAAUAGAUAAGACCGUUUAAAUCUCAUACACAUUUCUAGUUUUUGUGCACUUUGUUACUUAUCUUGCAAAAUGGGAGUAAUUGGGAACGACAUUGUAAAUACUUUUUCUAGGUCAGAUCAUUAUUCUUUUGUAUAUCUUUAGGUUAAAAAUUUUUUAACGAUAAAGUAUCCUCACAAAUUAAGGAGGCGUGUUGCGAUAAGGGCAUAUCACAGUGAUGAUCUCCUGAUUAAUGAAUAGAUAAACAUGAAGCUUCUGGAACGUUUGUAACUCAACUCUGUAUUCUUACCGUGUAUUUGUGGAGUAAUGAAUAAAUAAGUCAUUACGAAAUAUAAGUGUAAGUGUCAUUAUUUCACUAUCUUAACUGCCUCUAGACAGUAAAUGUUCGUGUAUGAAACACAUGUGCGGAACUUCAUGAUGUGAUUGUUUAGCAAGUGAGUUGAUAAUGUGCAGCUAUGGGCUAGAGGAAACAACGAAACCAUCGCCUUAAGACGCCAAAUCCGUCACGUUCUUCAGGAGUACCAGAUAGGAAAUGGCUCUGAAUAAUAAUGCUAUCUUGAAUGCACUGGAUGAUGAUCUACCACUAAGUUCUGAAUCAGAUGAAGAUGAACCAGUUGGCCCUCCGAGUCAGUUUCUAAGCGAAUCGUCAUCAGACUCUGAUGAAGAUCCCGUAGACUCUGUCCCCGUACAAGCACCUGCUCUCCCGGUCAUAGCCCUAGCUCCGCCAGUGGUACAAAUUCAAGUCCAGCCAGUGCAAGCUCCACUUCCAACACGACAACGAGGCACAGGUCGAGGUCAAGGUCCACGAAGGUAAACGAUAAUCAACUGCCACCUUCGCUAUUCGCGAAAGUGAUCAGGUAAUGAAGUUAUUCAUUUAUGCGAUAAGUUAAAUUAAAAUCAUUUUGAAAGAUGGGAAGCAACAACCAAAUAUUUGGGUUUUCCAACUUAAGUGUUUCUUGUUGAUGACUUAAGUACUAAAUUCACUUUUAAAGUGCUAUGGUUAUAUUAGAUCAAGAGAAUAGAUUUCUUUUUUUAAACGCCAGGUUUUCCUCCUCUGUAAGCCCAUACUUUGGCCAAAUUCCUCAAUGGACCACUAGACAAGGCACUAAUGUAAGUAUUCUGAUACAU
rnacentral:lncRNA from 1 species